rnacentral:lncRNA from 1 species
UCUCUCUCUCUCUCUCUCUCUCUCUCUUAUGUAUGCAUACAUGCAUGUAUUAAUUGCUCAUACAGAUCUUGCUGCGCAUGGUACAGGGAUGGAGUGCGAGUGGAAAUGGUGGCCUUUUUCUUCCUGGACCUUCAUUGUUUAGGGGUGUCCAACCUAAGGAAGAAAUCAAUGAACAUUCGCUUGACAGUGAGUCCAUGUCAUAUUCAAGUGAAUACAAGGAAGGCAGAAAUGAUAAAGCAGCAAGACCAGAUGAUGACUCAUACGAUGAGAAUAGAUCUCACAAAAGAAUAAGGUUUGAUCUCAGUAUAGGAAGCAAUGCAGAAGAAGAAACCGUUGCCGGAGAAUAUAAUUGCAUUAUAGUUCAAAACCACAAAAGCUGCAUGGAAGCUGGUGCGAUCUUUGAGGAGGGGGGAGAUGGUGGGGAUGAAGAGGAGGCUCCAAGUGCUGUACUGGUAUCCGUUAAUUGUUCUUCAAGCGGAACUGAUCAGAAGUACAAAUUCGGAAUCAGUUGAUCUUCUGACUUGAAUGUCGUGUUGUGAGCAUUACUUUGCUCGGCAGAGGUUUGGUGUUGCACUUUGCACAUAUGGAGAUUGAACUAGCAAAAGUAAGGUUCAACUCCACGUUGUUUCGAUUCACAAAACGAAGUGUAAGUACAUCCUCCUAUCGGUGAGAGUGCUGAGACGCAGAGACACAGCGUUCUGAAACACGAAUAAUUUGUUUGUUCAUAAAUUAUUAGAUUGAAAAGAUUGACCUUUGCCUUUAUGUUAAUGAAUUGCUCUUUCCGAAUGAGUUCAUAUAUCACGAUAAUCCUACAAUUAUAUGCAGCCGAAGAAGAAUAAUUAGAUUAUAAUCUAUGAGACUUGACUCAUCUGCCUUCUGUAGAUCAUCUUUCUCAACAAGUAUAGAAUUGACAUAUCGCUUCUUAGUAUCAUCGGAUUUCUCAAAAUCUUAUGCUACACUCUUUGAUCUUAUAUGAAUACAAUGAAUGAAUUCGAUAUUCAAUUUAAAAUAUUUACACUAGUGGAUACCACAAAAUCUUAUGUUAUACUUAAUGAAAAUAUGAAUAAACUUUUAAGUGUUAGUGAAUCUAUCAUUUUGAUGGGAUAUGUAUUCUACGAAACUAAUUUCAACGAUCCAACAGUCAAACUUGUUUGUAUAUGCUUUAAGAUCACAUAUGUCAAAAAUCGCAAAAAACAAACAUUCAAAGAUCAAGUAACGGGACAUGACUUUUUGACGGUUAUCAACGAAAAAUCAUGAUUUAACGGUUAUUUUAACUCUGAUUUUGAUGAUUUUUUACAGUUACACUCCUUGGCCGUAUAUGAAUACAAUGAAUGAACUCGAUCUUCAAUUUAAAAUAUUUACACUAGUAGAUAGAUACCACAGAAUCUUAUGUUAUACUUAAUGAAAGUAUGAAUAAACUCUUAAGUGUUAGUGAAUAUAUUGUUUUGAUGGGAUACGCAUUCUGCGAAACUAGUUUCAACGAUCCAACUGUUAAACAUAUUUGUAUAUACUUCGAGAUCGCAUACGCCAAAAAUUGCAAAAAACAAACAUUCAAAGAUCAAGUAACGGGACAAAACUUUUUGACACUUGUCAACGAAAAAUCAUGAUUUAACGGUUAUUUUUAACUCUGAUUUUGAUGAUUUUUUACAUCUACACUCCUUGACCCUAUAUGAAUACAAUGAAUGAACUCGAUCUUCAAUUUAAAAUAUUUACACUAGUGGAUACCACAAAAUCUUAUGUUAUACUUAAUGAAAGUAUGAAUAAACUCUAAGUGUUAGUAAAUCUAUCGUUUUGAUGGGAUACGCAUUCUACGAAACUAAUUUCAACGAUUCAACCAUCAAACUUGUUUGUAUAUGCUUUAAGAUCGCAUAUACCAAAAAUUACAAAAAACAAACAUUCAAAGAUCAAGUAACAGGACAAAACUUUUCGACGGUUAUCAACGAAAAAUCACAAUUUAGCGGUUAUUUUAACUCCGAUUUUGAUGAUUUUUACAGCUACACUCAUUGACCAUAUAGGAAUACAAUGAAUGAAAUCGAUCUUCAAUUUAAAAUAUUUACACUAGUAGAUAGAUACCACAGAAUCUUAUGUUAUACUUAAUGAAAGUAUGAAUAAACUCUUAAGUGUUAGUGAAUUUAUUGUUUUGAUAAGAUAUGCAUUCUAUUAAACUAGUUUCAACGAUCCAAUCGUUAAACAUGUUUGUAUAUACUUCAAGAUCGUAUAUGCCAAAAAUUGCAAAAAAACAAACAUUCAGAUAUCAAGUAACGGGACAAAAUUUUUUUACGGUUGUCAGUGAAAAAUCACGAUUUAACGGUUAUUUUUAACUCCGAUUUUGAUGAUUUUUUUACAUCUACACUCCUUGACCCUAUAUGAAUAUAAUGAAUGAACUCGAUCUUCAAUUUAAAAUAUUUACACUAGUGGAUACCACAAAAACUUAUGUUAUAGUUAAUGAAAGUAUGAAUAAACUCUUAAGUGUUAGUGAAUCUAUCGUUUUGAUGGGAUACGCAUUCUACGAAACUAAUUUCAACGAUCCAACCAUCAAACUUUAUAUGCUUCAAGAUCGCUUACGCUAAAAAUAGUAAAAAACAAACAUUCAAAAAUCAAGUAACGAGACAAAACUUUUUUACGGUUAUCAACGAAAAAUCAUGAUUUAACGGUUAUUUUAACUCCAACUUUGAUGAUUUUUUAUAACUACACUCCUUGACCCUAUAUGAAUACAAUGAAUGAACUCGAUCUUCAAUUUAAAAUAUUUACACUAGUGGAUACCACAAAAUCUUAUGUUAUAGUUAAUGAAAGUAUGAAUAAACUCUUAAGCGUUAGUGAAUAUAUUGUAUGAAUAAACUCAACAAUCCAACCAUCAAACAUGUUUGUAUAUACUUCGAGAUCGCAUACGUUAAAAAUUGCAAAAAACAAACAUUUAGAGAUCAAGUAACGGGACAAAAAAAUUUUACGAUUAUCAACAAAAAAUCACGAUUUUACGGUUAUUUUAACUCGGAUUUUGAUGAUUUUUUACAGCUACACUCCUUGACACUAUAUGAAUACAAUGAAUGAAUUUGAUCUUCAAUUUAAAAUAUUUAUACAAGUGGAUACCACAAAAUCUUAUGUCAUGAUGAUUGAUGAAAAUUGAGGAUUUUGUAAAAGGAAUAACAUGCAAACUUUGAGUUCUAUUGGCAAGGUCUAAACUUUUGAGAAAGGCUUCACAACCUUGAAAACAAAAACUCUUUCAUUUUGCAUAUCCUUGCACAUUUAAUAUUUUGUAAUAGACUAAUAGUGUAUGAAUGUUUGUUUAUUAAGCUCUUAUUUUCGAAGUGUAAAUGUAGUAUUUAAACGAAAAAUGUGUUUUAAUGUUUUGAAGUAAUAUUUAUGUGACAAUGUGUGGUAUGUGCAAAUUUAAGAAAAAAAUAUAUAUUUUUCUUAACAGGUCAUAACGGGUCGGGUCACUUUAAUAACGGGUGUGAUACGACACGACCCAUUAAGAUAACAUGUGUUACACGAAAAUGACACGAACACGACAGACACAACCUGUUUGCUAGACCUAUUACCCACUUUCACUCACUUUGUCUCACACACCAACUCCAUGUUCUCCGGCGCGUGCCGGUGCUCCCAAUAGUACGUUACGAUCAACGUCAUCGGAUCAUUCGGAGCUCGGUCCACUUGUUUCCUCGCCGGGCACCCUUUUACCGUUAUGCACCUGUAAUAUCCCCUGUUCAACAUAAACAAUUAAGCAAACGUUAGAUUCAAUUCUCACCGUCCGAUCAUAUCGCAUCCCGAUUUUUCAUUUCAAUACCAAAUCAACGGCUGGGAUUGAAAUUGAGUACCUUGGGUAAGGCGAGCCCUUGAUCGGCUUUUGACCGUACUUUCUCCAAGAGUACUCAUCCGUUGGAAUAUCAUUGAUUUUUGAACCUAUCACCGGCACCCGAAUCGUCUUCACUUGCUUUUUCCUGAAUCAAUUCAUUGAUUAAUUUUUUAAAUAAAAAAAUCGAAUAUAUAAACUAGUUUGGGGAUUUUUAGUCGUCGGUUAAAAUUAAGAGUAAUAUUAGGAAAAUUAAAUUUGUAGAUAAAAAUUUAUAAACUAAAUAAUAUGAAAAUUAAUGAUUGGAUUAUUAAUGUGUUUAUUCUUAUUGGUGAUACAUCACUUAGUUUGUAAAUUUUAUUUAUAAAAUUAGUCUCCCUAGCAUUAUCCUUAAUUUAAUGCUAGGGAGACUAAUUUGUAAAUAAAGGGUAAUGCUAGGGAGACUAAUUUGUAAACAAAAUUUGCAAACUAAACGAUGUGUUACCAAUAGGAAUGAGCAUGUUUAUCAACGCUUAAGUCAUAAUUCAAUCAUCAACUUCCAUGUUAUUUAGUUUACAUAAAUUUAUUUACAAAUUUAAUCUCUGUAGCAUUAUUCAAAAAUUAAACAACAAAAGUCUUUUUCCCAAACGUUGUGAAAAAAAAAAAAAAAACUUUUUGCUAUUUGAAAGUCAAAUUAAUACGCCAGGCGCAUCUUAUUGUGUCAGCCUCAACGUGUGCUACAACCAUUAAUGCCCAACAACUCACCCAGGAUACUAAGGGCUAGUUUGGUAUUGCUGUGCUUUGAAAAAAAAGUUGCUGUGAGAAUAAGCGGCUGUGAAAUAAAGCAGCAGAGUGUUUGGUAAACUUUUUUGUAAAAGUGCUUUUGAAAAAAAAAGCAGUCUGAUAGUGAGUCUUUUCAUUAAAGGAGCAUUGUAGCUCCAUGUGCUUUGAAAAAAAAACCAGUUUUCCAAAGCUGCAAAUAGCAGCUUCAGCUUUUUCCUUUGAUUUCAGCUUAUUCUCACAGCAGCUUCCAAAAUAAGCCAUUUUCUUUUUAGUUUACCAAACACCUAAAACCCUCACAGCUUUUUUUCAUGGGUGCUUUUUUUUUAAGCACCUCACUCCCAAACCACCCCUAACUGGGUCCAUUCCUGUUAGGAUUGACGGUAUUACAUGAUAAGGAAAAAUAAAAAGUAAAGCAGAAAGAUAGACACUAAGAAUUACGUGGUUCAACAAUUUUUGCUUACAUCUACAAGACAACAAUCAAUCUUCCAUUAUAUUAAAAUAAUGGACACGACAAGAACAAUCUUACCAAGCCAAAGACAAGACUUGAUGAAUAAAAGAAAAUAUGACACACUCUCACACCGUUAAUUUGACUCAUAAUUUGUGAUGGAACAUGCUCACUCUCAACCUUGGAGAGGAACAACUCUUAGAACUAUCACUCUUAGUCUUUUGGAUGAUCUACAAUGGUGAAAUGCCACCUCUAUUCAUAUGCAUGGAUGAAAAAUCCUAGUGAAUCCAAGAAUUAAAUCUUCCACUAUCAAUGGAAGUCAAACCACUCAUGCACCAUCCAAUGCAUUACCCUUGGAACUCCACAUGUUCAUGCACCACAUAGAGUUCCCUGUUACCAUUACAUUCCCUUGAAUAUAGUAUUCUCCAAUGUUUCAUUUGUUCUCAAAAGACUUCCAACAUUUUUAUGGUUCGUUGAGACUAUGGAAAAACCAACCAACUCUUAUAGUCUCGGAAACCAUGCUAGAGGCGUAUUUUAGAUGGGGGAGAGGAAAUGUAAACUAAAUGCGCGGGUAAUGAAUGACUCGUACCUUCUGUUGGAGUUGGAGCAAUGGUACUUGCCGGAGCCGGAAGCAGAUCCCGUGCCAGGUAACUCGCCCGGAAGCGUAGAAAGGGGAGACAUAGCGCUGGACAUAAGAGAUAAUGCGAGCUCGGUAGAAUCUAUUCCUUGAAGGUCCGUAAAUGCCAUUCCAAUUGGAGUCGGGCUUUGGAGUAGUUUAGUGAUAUCGUCAAUAAUUACCCUGAUAAACAUUCCUUCGUACCUGGUUGUUAUAUUUGAAAAUGAAACAAAGGUACACAAAUAUUUAUUAGCAACUGCAAAGAUUAAAUAAAUUUUAAAAAAUAUUUUAAAAGUUUUUUGAAAUGACAUAUAAGAUCAUCUCCAAAAAGGAAUGUCAAAUUUUGAACAUGAAAUUUAAAUUGACAGUUAUAAGGCACUUUGACAUCACUCCACCUAAUAUGUCAAAUUUUAAAUAUAAAAUAAAAAUUCAUAUUUAUUUUCUUUGCAUUUUUUUGGUUUUUUUUUAGUCAAAAAAUUGUGUUAAUAAGUUAAAUGUUAGAUUAGCCACUGACGGGGUUCGAACCCAUGUCAUCAUGCAAGGGCACAACACCUUUCCACCACUGUGGUAAAAAGUCACUUGCAUAUUUAUUUUCUUUACAUUGGUAAUGAAAGAAAAUGAACUCAAAGGUAUAAAAAUAUUAAACAUUAUAUUGGUAAUGAACGAAAAAUGAAAAGACUAAUAAAAAACAUUUAAUAAUUAAUUAAAAAUUAUUUGAAGUUAUUGUUAAAUUUGACAGCAACUAUCUUUGUUGCCAUCCCACAUCAAUCAAAAUUUCAAUUGGAAAAUACUAGUGUUGUCAUUUUUUACACUUAUUGCUGUCAUUGUUGAAAAAUACUAGUGUUGUCAUUUUUACACUUAUUGCUGUCAUUUUUUACACUUAUUGCUGAUGUGGACUUUGGAGAUGCUCUAAAUUUAAACAUUUUUUUAAUUUGUCAUUUGAAAUGUUAUAAAAAAUUAAGUGAUUUUUCAUAAUAAUUUUCUAAAAUUAUUAAUUAAUCAUCUUACUAAGUUUUUUCAAUCAAAAUAAGUUAUGUAAAAUUGUGUUUCGAGUUAUUUAAGCCAUUAGAACUUUUUAACAAGUUUAUUUAUUUAUUACACACACACACCACAAAGACGUGGAGAAUAAAUUAGUUUUUGACUUUUAAGUUUUAACCUCCUUUUUACAAAUUCUCUACUUUAUUUGGCUUGAACACAAAACUUUUGGCUGGUAAAAUGAACAUGCGGAAUCAUCUCAAACGUUUAUUGUCAUCUACUGAAAAAACCAUUAGCCUCAUGAGAUUACCCACUAGGAAGAUGGACAAUUUUUGGCUUUUAUGUGUGAGAAGCAAAGAUCUGGGCAAAUUUGGAAGUAUCAUGACAAAGUUUUUGUUUUAGGUGAAAUUAAUCAAAGUUGAGGCACCCAAGUUUUUAUCAAAAAUUAGAUUUGCAGAGGAAGGAAUAAGAAAGAGGGAGGAGAUGGUGAGCUGGAGACAAUAAGCAAUAUCCUUCUUGUCCGUUCACUUCCGUUGACUUUGUUUCCGUUGAGGGAUCUUUAAAUAAUUUCAUUUGAGAAUGUGCUUGUUUCGUAACAUUUUUUCACGAUUUAAAUAAUUUAUAUUUCAGUACACUGUUUAUAAAUUAUUUUUACAAAUAAUUUUUUUAAAUAAUUAUUAAGAAGUUUAAUUAUAGUAAAGAAAAUAGAUAAAUACGACUUUUUAAAUAAACAUAAUAUUAAUAUCAUUUAAUUCAACUGUUAAAUAAUUUCAAAAUUGUUGAUUUUGAUAAAAACUAGCAUAUGGGCACAUACAAAGUGUGUAAGAAAUUUUUUUAUUUUUCUUUUUGAAAUAGAAGGAGAGGAAGAGAAUGAUACACUAUUGGAGUGGGAUUUUUUUUUUUUUUGGAACUAACGAAAAGUCUACAAAAUAGAAGCGACAAAGAAGUGUAUAUGUGUAUAUUUUUUUCUAUAUUUUUGGUCAGGCGAUAUAUUUUGUUAGAUUAGCUAUCGACAGAGUUUGAAUUUACGCCGUCAUGCAAUGAUUCAACACCUUUUCAAAGUGAACAGUGACACUUUAAAAUUUGAAGGGAGUUUUAAUAAAACACUCAUGAUACUGUUCACUUUUAAUGAAAAACCACAUUUAUACAUUUUACUAGUAUUAUUCACUAUACCUUUAAAAAUGACUUUUCAUUAAAAGAGAAAUUUUUUUAGAUUUUUCUUUAGUUUUCCUAAAAUUGAAUUGUGCACAAAGAAGUGAACAAUUAGAUAUUGUUUUUUAGUACAUAGAUAUUUUUACAUUAAGAAGAUGAGGAGUUCGGCUAAACCACACAACGAGCAACCUAAUUAGUAUCGAAUUCGUCAUUCAUGAGAUUCGAACCUGGAACAUCUCUCUUCUUACUUUCAUCUCCUUCUCUCAUCUCCUCUCACAUUUUAUUUUUUGUUUUAUUAUUUUUAUUAAAAAAAUUAAUAUAAAAUAUUGACGUGAUUUAUUAUAACCAUUCAAGUACGAAGAAAGAUUAAGAAGAAAAAUAAUCCUCUUGGGUUGUGGACCUGACUGAUGGUUACCUUUAGGUGGUUUGUUGACUUUGAUUUAGGGCUUGUUUGGAUGUGCUUUUAAAAUGGCUGAAAGCGCUUUUAGAGAAAAUAUUUUUGGGUUCCAAAAGCACUUUAAGUGCUUUCUACAACAAGAAGCACCAGUUAUGUGCUUCUUCCAGGAAGCACCCGUUAUGUGCUUCUUCCAGGAAGCACUUUAAAUAAUUUUCCAAAAUUUACUUGUAUUUUUACUAAAGAUUGGUUCCAAAAUCAUUUUCACCAAAAAUGCUUUCAAUUAUUUUAAAAGCUCGUCCAAACGAGCCCUUAAUUAUGAGGGAAAAAGUUGGAUUUAAAGCUGUGGAUGGAAAAAACACUUUCCCUUCGUGAUUUAGGGAGACCGAAGCGAGUAGUUGACUUGGUAUUUGCAGAUCAUCUGGGAAACCACAAGCUCUGCCAACAACAAUCCAUGGAUGCUACCAUCACAGCUGUCGAUCCCUCCUCUGCAUCUUCACCCUCCUCCUCGAAACAAUGGAAGCACGACGUGUUCUUGAGCUUUAGAGGCGAAGACACCCGCCGGACCUUCACCGACAACCUCUACUGGACAUUAAAAGACAACAAAGUCAAGGUCUUCAUUGACGAGAAUGAACUUCCAAGAGGAGAAAACAUAACAGAUGAACUGGUGGAAGCGAUCAGACGGUCCAGGAUGUCCAUCGUCAUCUUCUCAAAACGGUACGCGGAAUCCCGAUGGUGCCUUGAGGAGCUUGAGAAGAUCAUGGAGUGCAGAAGAACACUUGGGCAAAUUGUUCUACCAAUAUUCUACAACGUCGAUCCGACGGAUGUUAGGAACCAGACUGGUAGUGUUGCGGAAGCAUUUCAGAAGCAUGCAGAGCGCUUCCAUGGAGAUAUAGAUAAAGUCCAGAGGUGGAGAUCUGCUUUUACAGAAGCUGCAAAUUUGUGUGGUGGGAACCUUAGAAACACUGAUGGGUAAUUUCUCUGUUACUUUUUAACUUACUGUUUUUACAUACAUAGCAUGUCUUUUACAGGAUGAUGCAUUACAAGUGUGGAACCAGAAAUUUUUACCAGGGUGGGCUAGCAAAUUGGUAUAGGGUGACUUGUUGGUUGCUAAAAAGAAUUUUCGACGAAAAUUCAAGAGAUGAUGUGGAGAAAUCAAUAAACCAUAGAGACUUAAGAUUAAAAACUAGAGUCAUGAAGGGAUUGUUUUAAUAAAUUGAGUAGAGAUACAAAUUAACUUGAGUUAGGCUUAAUUUGGGUGAAUUAAACUUUAAGAUAUAUAUUGAGAUAUGCGGAUUAUAUUCGAACUUUUCACGAAAAAACUACCUGGAUUAUAGCCCGUGUUCGCCAUCAUGCUAGUUACGACGUUGAUGUAUUAGUUUCGGUUUAGCAACCUUUAAUUGCCAACUUCAUGUGUUGGCUUUUCUUAAGCCUCUAUUACAAAAUGUCAAUAAACUAUAAAAUGAGAGGACCUAGAACCUUGAUCAGUUUACACAUUGUAAUGCUGCUAAUGCAAAGAUUAGAAACCUGAUGUGUGUGUGUGUGUUGUGUGUGAGAGAGAGAGAGAGAGAGAGAGAGUAUUUCUAAACGCUUGAUCUAUCAGUUUGGUCGAAUUGAGCUAAUCACAUGGAUCAAUAUAAUGUGCCAUUGUUUGUGUUGUUAUCAUGAAAAAGUUAUUAGUUGAGUUUAAUCCUGCAGUUUAUGAUUCUUACUUUGGAAAUUUUUGUUAACAGGUAUGAAGGUAAGUUUAUAAGGAAAAUUGUCAACGACAUCACUAGAAAACUGAACAACACGUACUUAAACGUAGCUGCCAAAGAAAUUGGAAUAGAUUCUCGAGUGCAAGAAAUCAUCAAUGAUUUAGAUGUUGGAGGAUCAGAUGAUGUUCGCAUUGUUGGAAUUUUGGGCAUGGUCGGAACGGGGAAGACAACGGUUGCAAAAGCCAUUUUCAAUAGAGUUCAUCAAAGCUUUGAAGGUAAAAGUUUCCUUUCAAAAGUGAGGGAAGAGAGUAUGGUUAAACUGCAAAACCAACUUCUUUGUGAUAUCUUGAAACCAGCCAACAUAGAGGUAAGCAGUGUGGAUCAAGGAACCAAGGAGAUACAAAAAAGACUUGGCAGCAUAAGGGUACUUGUCAUAGUUGAUGACAUAGAUUGUGUGGAACAACUAGAAGAGUUAGCUAUAAAACACGAGUCGUUUGGUCGAGGGAGUAGAAUUAUUGUAACAACAAGAGAUGAACAAUUGUUAAAGUUUAUCAGAGUCGAUAAGACAUGUUUGGCACAAACAAUGAAUGAAGAAGAAGCUCUUCAGCUCCUUAGUUGGCGUGCCUUUCGAAAGAGCUAUCCUAAUGAUGAAGAAUUUCUUGAACUCGCAAGAAAAGUUGUUGAUUACUGUGGAGGUUUGCCACUGGCGCUUGAAGUUUUAGGUUCUUAUCUAAGUUCAAAAAGCAAAAGAGAAUGGAGAAGUGCACUGCGCAAAUUGAAAAGAAAGCCUCACGGGAAGAUUUAUGAAAGCUUAAAAUGAGCUACGAUGGGCUAAUUGAUGAUGACGUGAAGGCUAUAUUCCUUGACAUAUGUUGUUUCUUUAUUGGAAUGAACAAGGACUAUGUUAUGACAAUAUUAGAUGGCUGUGACUUUGAUCCAGAUAUAGGAAUCGGAGAACUCCAUGAUCGGUGCCUUGUAACUGUUGAUGAAGGAAACAACCUUAUAAUGCACGAUUUGCUUCGGGAUAUGGGCAGAGAAAUUGUACGUGAAAAAUCUCCUAACAUCACUGGAAAACGUUGUAGAUUGUGGGAUCAUGAAGAUGUUAAAGACGUAUUGAGGAACAAAUCUGUAAGUAACUAAGUACAUCUGCAAUCAAAUUGUAUAAAGAACAUGUAUGCAAUGAAAGAGAAGUGUGUGCAUAUCCCAAAUGCAAAUAAUCAUUUUUCCUAGUUCUUACUUGAAGGAUCCAAUUCAUGGCUUUGCUUCAUGUAAAAGUCAUCUUUUCGCAUGCAUAUAACCCUUUUUGUACCUUUUUUAAAAAUCCUUUUACUUUUCUAACAGGGAACGGAGGAAGUUGAAGGACUCAUUUUAGAUUUGCAUGAAUCUAAUGAGCCUAGCUUCAGUACAGAAUCACUCAGAGAGAUGCGGAGACUGAGGUUGCUCAAACUCAAAGGUGUAAAGUUCACUGGAAAUUGCACAUAUCUUUCCAAAAAGCUAGCAUGGUUGUGUUGGCCUGAGUUUCCGCUAGAGGUCAUGCCAGAAGAUUUCAUCAACCAAACCUAGUUGAUAUCGACCUGAGUCAUAGCCAAAUGCAAGUUUGGAAGGACUCCGACGUGGUAUUGCAUAAUCUAAACCAAACUAUUGAUUCUUUCUUCCAGGUUUUGUAAGUACUGACAUCAUGCUUUUUCUCUUCUGUUUGGAUUUUAAUUUAUGUUUUCGUUUUUGUCUCACAGCGGCUUGAGAAAUUGAAGUUUCUUAAUCUGGGUUAUUGCUGUCGCCUAAAAAGAUCACCAGACUUUUCAAAACUCCCCAAUAUCGAGAGAUUGAUACUCAGAGACUGCAUGAGUUUGUCCGAGAUUCACCCUUCCAUAGUACAACUGAAGUGCCUUAAAUAUUUCUCUCUUGCGAACUCCAAUUUAACAAAUGAUGCAAUUCCUGAGGAUCUCGGGUCUAUAUCUUCUUUAGAAGUUUUAGAUCUAAGAGGCAAUGAUUUUACUGCACUACCUAUCCUCACUGGCCUUUCUAAGCUUCAAACUUUACAGUUGGGUAAUUGCACAAAGCUUCAGGCAAUUCCGGAUUUACCAGCAAGUUUGGAAAUUCUGGAAGCGAAUCAGUGCAUUGCAUUGGAAAGAAUGCCAGAUUUUUCGGAGAUGUCGAGACUGAGAGAAUUGCAUCUGAAUUACUCCCCCAAAGUCACUGAAAUUCCAGGCCUGGAUAAGUGCACCAAUCUCAAUGAUGCUCUUAAGGAAGCAAUCCUACGGGUCCUCUCUCUCUCUCUCUCUCUCUCUUAUGUAUGCAUACAUGCAUUAUUAAUUGCUCAUACAAACCUUGCUACGCAUGGUAUAGGGAUGGAGUGUGAGCGGAAAAGGUGGCCUUUUUCUUCCUGGACCUUCAUUGUCCAGGGGUGUCCAACCUAAGGAAGAAAUAAAUGAGAAUACGCUUGACUGUGAGUACAGGUCAUAUUCAAGUGAAUACAAGGAAGGCAGAAAUCAUGAGGCAGCAAGACCAGGUGAUGACUCGUACGAUGAGAAUCGAUCUCACAAAAGAAUAAGGUUUGAUCUCA